rnacentral:rRNA from 1 species
AUACGUAGGGGGCGAGCGUUGUCCGGAAUGAUUGGGCGUAAAGGGCGCGUAGGCGGCCCGGUAAGUCUGGAGUGAAAGUCCUGUUUUUAAGAUGGGAAUUGCUUUGGAUACUGUCGGGCUUGAGUGCAGGAGAGGUAAGUGGAAUUCCCAGUGUAGCGGUGAAAUGCGUAGAGAUUGGGAGGAACACCAGUGGCGAAGGCGACUUACUGGGCCGUAACUGACGCUGAGGCGCGAAAGCGUGGGGAGCGAACAGGAUUAGAUACCCUGGUAGUCCACGCGGUAAACGAUGAAUGCUAGGUGUAGGGGGUAUCGACCCCUUCUGUGCCGGAGUAAACGCAAUAAGCAUUCCGCCUGGGGAGUACGGCCGCAAGGUUGAAACUCAAAUGAAUUGACGGGG